AUCAUGCUACAUAGAGGUAAUUAUUUCUAGAAUCUUCCACUUAAUAUUUUUAUAUUGCUAUUGCUACAGGUAACUGAAAUUGAAGAUAAUGAGGGACUGAAUUAUAUAUAUUUUGAAUCAAAAUUAUUUCUUAUACCAAUUGCAUCCCUUUUUAUUUUCCUUUUUGUCCAGAGGAUGAGCAAUGACCGGGAAAGGUUCUAAACUCUCACUACCAUAGUGGCUGCUGUGUGGUUAUUGCAUAAUUUGAUAACUUCACUAAGGAACUGCUGCUCUACAUAUGAAGCAUGGAGGAUGAGCUCCCAAACUCUCAGCAUGAUCUAAAGAUGUACAGAGCAAACCUGUCACUGAGAAAAUGAGCAUCAGGGUUGCUCUGGAUUAUAUGUGGGCGUGGGCAUGGGUAUGUGCUACACUUACUGCAUACAGGGAGACGAGUCCACUGUGCUCAUCUAAAGACAUGUUUAUUCAACAGAGUUUGCUUCCCUUGAGAUCUGGUUAACAUCCUGAAUAAUAAAAUGUCAUGUGCUCGGUAAACAA